CAAGCCUGAUCCAGCAAUGCCGCGUGCAGGAUGAAGGCCUUCGGGUUGUAAACUGCUUUUGUACGGAACGAAAAGCCUCUCUCUAAUACAGGGGGGUGAUGACGGUACCGUAAGAAUAAGCACCGGCUAACUACGUGCCAGCAGCCGCGGUAAUACGUAGGGAGCAAGCGUUGUCCGGAUUUACUGGGUGUAAAGGGUGCGUAGGCGGCUCUGCAAGUCAGGCGUGAAAUAUAUGGGCUUAACCCAUAGACUGCGUUUGAAACUGUGGAGCUUGAGUGAAGUAGAGGUAGGCGGAAUUCCCGGUGUAGCGGUGAAAUGCGUAGAGAUCGGGAGGAACACCAGUGGCGAAGGCGGCUUACUGGGCUUUAACUGACGCUGAGGCACGAAAGCAUGGGUAGCAAACA
rnacentral:rRNA from 1 species